GCUAGCGUUGUUCGGAUUUACUGGGCGUAAAGCGCACGUAGGCGGAUCGUUAAGUCGGGGGUGAAAUCCUGGAGCUCAACUCCAGAACUGCCUUCGAUACUGGCGAUCUCGAGUCCGGAAGAGGUGAGUGGAACUCCUAGUGUAGAGGUGGAAUUCGUAGAUAUUAGGAAGAACACCAGUGGCGAAGGCGGCUCACUGGUCCGGUACUGACGCUGAGGUGCGAAAGCGUGGGGAGCAAACAGG
rnacentral:rRNA from 1 species